rnacentral:ribozyme from 1 species
AAAAAAUUGAUUGAAAAAAUGAAACAAGAACAGAAUUCUUUUUCUCUUUCUCCUUCUCCCUCAUCUCUAUCUCUUUCUUCUUCUUCUUCUCUCUCUCCUUCUGUACUUGCUUCUCUUGGAUUAUUAGAUAUGGUUUCAGAAACUUCUGCUUUUUACAGGAAAGCAACAGAAAAGUGGGAAAAGGCACUAAGCAGUCUACAUUUUA